rnacentral:lncRNA from 1 species
UUGAGAAGUGUUGGUAUGCAUGUUAUGGGUGUUUUAUAGGUUUUUGGAGGCUGGAACCCUGAGUUGGGUCGGGAUUCUGCCUUUCUGGAGAAUCCAGGUUCGGCCGCCGAAGCAAGGUUCGGCCGCCGAACCCCUUGUGGAGGCAGUUUCGGCUGCCAAACCUUGCCCCCGAAAGCUAGGCUGUUGGGUGAGAAAGAGACUUUCGGCCGCCGAAAGAGGGAGUUCGGCCGCCGAAAGUGCAUGAGUUUCGUCUCUGGACGAGACUUUCGGCCGCCGAAGGUGCCGCCGAACAUGCAUGAGUUUCGUCUCUGGAGGGAGGUUUCGGCCGCCGAAUCAGCCGCCGAAAGUGCCCAGUCCAGCCUUCUUUUGCCCAUUUUUCCAUGCAUGCCUAUGAUGUUUUAGAGGGGUUUUGGGGAGAUAUUACGAGUUCUGUGUAAGUAAGUUUGGUCCUCAUUUGAGUCCACCUGUGUAGGUACGGACCCGAGAGACCAAGGAGGCCCACAGAGUUAGAGUUACAGAGACUGCCCAACAGUUGACAGAGGUGAGUGGAACAGAACUUUAUUUUAAAAGUUAAGAACGGUUUUAGCAUGAGUCAUGCAUCAUUAAUGCCAUGUUUAUGUAGGAUGCUUUGCAUUAGUAUGCACUACGUUGAUGCAUUGCAUUAUUACUUGUAUAUGUGGAUUGGACCGAGGCGAUCUCAAUAGCCCAUAAGUCUGUCAUUAUUGUAUGUCCUGUGUGAGCUCCUUUGGGGCCGGGCAUUUACCUUGGAUGAGUCCUGUGAGAGCCCUUAUAGGGUCGGGCACCAUGAGUAGUUAGUGAAAGACCUGUGUGAGCUCCUUUGGGGGCCGGGCACUGACAGAGGGAGUUUUGGGAUCAUGUCCAAUCCGAGAUGUGAAAUGUUUGUGCAGUGAUGCAUCAUAUGAUAGCAUGUUUUAAAUGUGAUUUUUAUAGAUUCCGCUCACUGGGCUUUAGUAGCUCAUCCCUCUCCCUAACCCCAUUUUUCAGGGCCUCAGAGAAGAGAAAGAGAAAGAG